CCUCGGCCAGGCCCCGGCAGCAGAAGGGAGGCAGCUGUGCUGCAAACUACUGGAGUCCGGACAUGCAGGACCGCAGGCUGCAGGCUCCCAUUUGGCAGAAAGGACUUUUGCUGAAAUCCCCAGCGGGGCACUCGACCCCUCUAGUGGGUUGUGCCAUGCACUCCAUUGUCGCCGCCCCCGACCGGCCCCUGGCACCGUGUCCCUCCUACCUGAGCAGGCUCUGACUCCAGCCCUGGACACAGCUGGGGUGGCCACGGUGACUGCUGAGAAGAGGGGCUGUCCACACAGCCUGGUGGCUUGGAGCCCCGGGACCCCCACACCUGGGUCAGGGUGGGGCCGGAUGAGGUCUGAGCAGGCGCCCGACAGCCCCGUGUGCAGGAGACGCACAGCACUCACCGACCCCAGGCGUGACUACGUUUGAGGCAACCAUGAAGGCUUCAGACAUUCAAACUUCUUAAUAGACCAGGCGUGGUGGCUCACGCCUGGAAUCCCAGCACUUUGGGAGGCUGAGAUAAAAUCCUAGAAGUGAAAUGGCUGGAGAGAGAGUUACAGCAGAGCCAGGUUCUCCGUCCUGCGCGGUUUCUAAGUGAAAUGGCUGGAGAGAGAGUCACAGCAGAGCCAGGGGCUCCAUCCUGCGCGGUUUCUGCAUUUGGUGUUGAGUUGUCCUUUCUGCAUCGGAAUUCUGACUCCUGAAAUCACAUUUCUCACCGUGUCUAGGUCAUACUUUCAAUAAUCUUUCAAUAACCUUUCUGCUGCUUUUUUUUUUGGAGACGGAGUCUUGCUCUGUCGCCCAGGCUGGAGUGCAAUGCAAUGGCGUG
rnacentral:lncRNA from 1 species